AGGGUUUGUGGACGGAUGAGUGAAUUUGAUGGGGUACAGAACCAGCAUGAUGUGGCGAGGGUAAACCAGCAGAUACUGUCGGGCCCCGCUGCUGAUAUUGGGGGUUGCGUUCUAUGCCUUGACCCGAGCAUAGAACGGGGCUCAUCUCUUUGAGCUGGGAAA